UAGGGAAUAUUGGACAAUGGGUGAGAGCCUGAUCCAGCCAUGCCGCGUGCAGGAAGAAGGCGUUAUGCGUUGUAAACUGCUUUUGGCCAGGGGAUAAAAAGACCGUGCGCGGUUAAUUGAAGGUACCUGGUGAAUAAGCCACGGCUAACUACGUGCCAGCAGCCGCGGUAAUACGUAGGUGGCAAGCGUUGUCCGGAUUUAUUGGGUUUAAAGGGUGCGUAGGUGGCCCUGUAAGUCAGUGGUGAAAUAUCUCAGCUUAACUGAGAGGGUGCCAUUGAUACUGCAGGGCUUGAGUACAGAUGAGGUAGGCGGAAUUGACGGUGUAGCGGUGAAAUGCAUAGAUAUCGUCAAGAACACCGAUAGCGAAGGCAGCUUACCAAGCUGUAACUGACACUGAGGCACGAAAGUGUGGGGAUCAAACAGGAUUAGAUACCCCAGUAGUCCCUGAG
rnacentral:rRNA from 1 species